AUCUCUAUGUCGUAAGCAAGAUAGCGAGUCACGAUAUAGGUGAGUCUCGAGGGACUCGACCAACUCAACCUACACUGGGAAUCGAUUCCUACCUAUAACGAUGGAAGGUCAUGUGGGUCAAUAUAAUUGCCUCACGUUUACCGACUUAAUAUUAUCAAGAGAGAUGUUUGUAUGAUUUGGUCUCCUAAUAUGAUAUGUCACACAUAUAAAUAUUUA
rnacentral:lncRNA from 1 species